rnacentral:rRNA from 1 species
GAUAAACGCUAGCGGCAGGCUUAACACAUGCAAGUCGAGGGGCAGCAUAGAUUGUAGCAAUACAAUUGGUGGCGACCGGCGCACGGGUGCGUAACGCGUAUGCAACCUACCCGUCACAGGGGGAUAAUCCGGAGAAAUCUGGUCUAAUACCCCAUAACAUAUGGAUCGGCAUCGGUUCAUGUUGAAAUUUUCGGAGGUGACGGAUGGGCAUGCGUAGCAUUAGCUUGUUGGUGAGGUAACGGCUCACCAAGGCGACGAUGCUUAGGGGGACUGAGAGGUUUUCCCCCCACACGUGUACUGAGACAGGGACCGGACUCCUACGGGAGGCAGCAGGGGGGAAUAUUGGUCAAUGGGCGCAAGCCUGAACCAGCCAUGCCGCGUGCAGGAUGACGGCUCUAUGAGUUGUAAACUGCUUUUGUACAGGGAUAAAUCGGGGUACGCGUACCCCGUUGAAGGUACUGUGGGAAUAAGGAUCGGCUAACUCCGUGCCAGCCGCCGCCGUAA